UAAAGGUUUGGUCCUGGCCUUGUUAUUAAUUUUAGCUACAUUUACACAUGCAAGUAUCAGCACACCCGUGAAAAUGCCCUCUAACACCACUAAGUGAAUGAGGAGCGGAUAUCAGGCUCUUACCCUGCCAAAGACAUCUUGUUCAGCCACACCCUCAAGGGAAUUCAGCAGUGAUAAACAUUGAAAUAUAAGCGUUUAAAGCUUGAAUCAGUGACAGCUUACAGAGUUGGUUAAUCCCGUGCCAGCCACCGCGGUUAUACGAGAAACUCAAAUUAAUAAAUACGGCUCAAAGGGUGGUUAAAGAUAAGUUAUAUAAUAGAAUAAAAAACUAACUCUGCUGUCGCACGCAAUAGUUAUACCAAAGUACAUCAUCGAAAGUGAUUCUACCACUCUUGAACCCACGACAACUAGGAAACAAACUGGGAUUAGAUACCCCACUAUGCCUAGAUAUAAACUUUGAUUAUCCGCCAGAGUACUACGAGCUACAGCUUAAAACUCAAAGGACUUGGCGGUGCUUUACACCCCCCUAGAGGAGCCUGUUCUAUAAUCGAUAACCCCCGAUAGACCUCACCACCUAUUGCCAAUACAGCCUAUAUACCACCGUCCAGCCCGCCCUUUAAAGGAUCAACAGCAGGCAUAAUUAUAAACAUUAAAACGUCAGGUCAAGGUGUAGCAGAUGAGGUGGAAAGAAAUGGGCUACAUUUUCUAACUUAGAAAACACGGAUGACUCUAUGAAAUGGUCUCUGAAGGAGGAUUUAGCAGUAAAAAGAAAUAAGAGUGUUCUUUUUAAAACGGCAAUAAAGCGCGCACACACCGCCCGUCACCCUCCUCAAAUAAUUUAAAAUCUUAAAUAAAUAAAAUCAACAAGUAAGAAGAGGCAAGUCGUAACAUGGUAAGUCUACCGGAAGGUGAACUUGGAAUAC
rnacentral:ncRNA from 1 species